UUUUUGUUAAUCGAAGCAUACCAACACAUACAGAUUCAACAUACCAACACCAGUCAGAUAAGGACUGAUGGCCCGCCACACUCCAACGCUUCCUUUCCGAAGACGCUGGCCGAUGGCAAAUUCCAGCAACAAGAGGGGCAUUCCUUCUAAUACCAGCAGGAGCAGAUCCUCAAGGCUGGAGAUCCGCAGAUCCAAUCCCGGGUUGGGAAGAGUCAAUUUCAUGUCGUCCAAAAACUGAAGCAGCGGAGUGGUCUGCAGCCGGCCGAUGAAGCGCUUGACAUCUCCUCUGCAAACAUUUGAAGAGGGCCACGGCUGGGAUGACUAAACUGGGAACGCCGGCCAGGAUGAAGACAAUAAUAGAAAUCCAGUUCGGGUACUCUCGCACUUCGAGGGUGGGAAAGUUCUCCUGUGGGG